UACGUAGGGGGCAAGCGUUGUUCGGAAUUACUGGGCGUAAAGGGCGCGUAGGCGGCACGGCAAGUCAGGAGUGAAAGGCCUGGGCUCAACCGAGGAACUGCUUUUGAUACUGAAGAUCUUGAGUUCGGGAGAGGUGAGUGGAACUGCGAGUGUAGAGGUGAAAUUCGUAGAUAUUCGGAAGAACACCAGUGGCGAAGGCGGCUCACUGGCCCGGUACUGACGCUGAGGUGCGAAAGCGUGGGGAGCAAACAGG
rnacentral:rRNA from 1 species